GGAUGCGUAUGCAUGCAGGGUUUUUCUUUCCUGCAAGGAAAAGAGUCUAUGAGAAAAUGUUUGAGAAGAUAGGAGCUGCAUUCUUCAUCCAACUAGGACAGAGAAGAAGAAGAUAGAGACUGGGGUAUUGGCCUUCAGCGGGAAUUGCGGGAUCGAUUUCUACUGCGGAGGACUGCACAAACGAAGAAGGGUAGGAUAGAGUUCCAACUUGUAUGAGAAUGUGAUGAUAAAUAUAUUAAAAUUGGAAUGGAGAUAGGCCUAUCUUGAUUUU